UAUAACCAGGUAAUGUUUCAGGGUAUAACUAGGUUAUAACCAGGUAAUGUCUCAGGAUAUAACCAGGUUAUAACCAGGUAAUGUCUCAGGAUAUUACUAGGUUAUAACAUGGUCAUGUCUCAGGAUAUAACCACGUUAUAACCAUGUUAUAACCAGGUAAUGUCUCAGGUUAUA